AGAAAUGCUAUACGGACAAAUUCAAUACCAAAAAUACAACAAAUAUACUCUACUAUUCUUUUAUACCUAUAUUUCUAUUUUAUUUUUAUUUUUUAUACCAUAUUGCCACACAUGUUUCCUUUAUUUUUCUCUUUCCAUUCCUCGCUGUUUUCUUCCUCUCACCGAGCCUCUGCGCCGAUCUCCCUCCACCACCAAUCGCCGGCGACAUCUCCCUCCACCACUAAACAACCAUCACCGCCUCUUCUCUUGCAAUUUUGAAAAAUCAAAUUUCAAUUUCAGAUGCGAGACAAAAAUUUGGGCGAGUUGAACGCCAUUUUCAUUUGUCGAAGAACCUUUCUAGGUAUUUGAGUAAAAUGGUCAGAUUAGGCGUGCACACCUGUCGUAAGAGUUGAGAAUAUGUUUGAGCAUGUUCAGAUUAGGUGCUUGUGUUUAAGAAUUUGUGGAAGAGCCCGGCACCGUCUAAGGUCAUCACUUUUUUGUGGCAGCUGAUUUUAGAUCGAAUUCAAACUAAGGACAAUUUACGUAAGCGGAGGAUGAUACAUGAUAAUAAUUUCAACUGUGUGCUUUGUACUGUGUGUGUUGAAUCAGCAUGUCAUGUUUUCUCCAUUGCAAGCAUGCAACUGAGAUAUGGUAUGCGAUUACAAGGUGGUCAGGACUGUUUCUAAUUAUUCCGCAUAAUAUUGCAAAACAUCGUUUGCGUUAUUCUAUACUAGUGCAAGGAAUAAGAAGGAAAAGAAAGGUCUGUGCCUGAUUUGGCAUGCAUAUGUUUGGGCUAUUUGGACUGUGAGAAACGAUGGUGUUUUUAACGCGAAAGUGUGGAGCGGGUUAAGGUGCUGUCUUGCAAGUGGUUCAUAGGGAGAAUGGCGACGGGUCCGUGUUUACUAUAUGAAUGGAAGUGAAGUCCGUUGGAUUGUAUGCAGCGUUAAUCAGAAUCUGUGCAUGGGUUUUGGUGUUCCCUGUAGGCGACCUGUUUUGGAUGGUUAUAACUGGUGGCGAGGUCAUGCUGCAGCCUUUCUUAAGUAUGCAAAUUUGCCUCCGGAAGCACUCAGACAUGGGAGAGUAAUCCAGCAUAAGCUGACAAGCGGCUAAGCAUGCACAUGCAUCAGAUGUGCAGUCAACAUUAGAUGACGAUGCUUGAACACAAUGACAGCAGGAUGAGGAUGUUGGCUUAUCAUCAUUUUGUUAUCAUGCGAAUUGUUUAUUGCAUAUGUACUUGGUAUUUGUAUCAUAUUGUGUGUGGGAUGUAAUGAUGCUCACCUAUUUCAAUUUAGAGCUAAAUUGUAAUUUUAAACUUUGGUAACAAUGAAUACAGUGCAUUAGAGGAAACUCUAAGUUUAGUAUAAUUAUAUCUAGUAUUAAGAAUUUGUUAAGUUUA